AGGAACGCUGGCGGCGUGCUUAACACAUGCAAGUCGAACGGACCUUAGCAUCAAGCUUGCUUAAUGCGAAAGGUUAGUGGCGGACGGGUGAGUAACACGUGGAUAAUCUGCCUAUGACACAGGGAUAACACUGUGAAAACGGUGCUAAUACCAGAUACGUUUAUCGAAUCGCAUGGUUUGAUAAAGAAAGGAGCAAUCCGGUCAUAGAUGAGUCCGCGGCUGAUUAGCUAGUUGGUGAGGUAACGGCUCACCAAGGCGAUGAUCAGUAGCCGGCCUGAGAGGGUGAACGGCCACACUGGGACUGAGACACGGCCCAGACUCCUACGGGAGGCAGCAGGUGGGGAAUCUUCCGCAAUGGACGAAAGUCUGACGGAGCAACGCCGCGUGGGUGAUGAAGGUUUUCGGAUUGUAAAGCUCUGUCUUCCGGGACGAUAAUGACGGUACCGGAGGAGGAAGCCACGGCUAACUACGUG
rnacentral:rRNA from 1 species